GAUGAACGCUGUCUACAGGCUUAACACAUGCAAGUCGAGGGGAAACGACGGGGAAGCUUGCUUCCCCGGGCGUCGACCGGCGCACGGGUGAGUAACGCGUAUCCAACCUGCCUCUGACUGAGGGAUAACCCGUCGAAAGUCGGCCUAAUACCUCAUGGCAUCGUCUGCGGGCAUCCAACGACGAUUAAAGAUUUCAUCGGUCAGGGAUGGGGAUGCGUCUGAUUAGCUUGUUGGCGGGGUAACGGCCCACCAAGGCUACGAUCAGUAGGGGUUCUGAGAGGAAGGUCCCCCACAUUGGAACUGGGACACGGUCCAAACACCUACGGGAGGCAGCAGUGAGGAAUAUUGGUCAAUGGGCGGGAGCCUGAACCAGCCAAGUAGCGUGCAGGAUGACGGCCCUAUGGGUUGUAAACUGCUUUUAUGCGGGGAUAAAGUGAGGGACGUGUCCUUCAUUGCAGGUACCGCAUGAAUAAGGACCGGCUAAUUCCGUG
rnacentral:rRNA from 1 species